UACGUAGGGGGCAAGCGUUGUCCGGAUUUAUUGGGCGUAAAGAGCGUGUAGGCGGCCUGACAGGUCUGCUGUGAAAACUCGAGGCUCAACCUCGAGAUGUCGGCGGAAACCGUCUGGCUAGAGUCCGGAAGAGGAGAGUGGAAUUCCUGGUGUAGCGGUGAAAUGCGCAGAUAUCAGGAAGAACACCUAUGGCGAAGGCAGCUCUCUGGGACGGUACUGACGCUGAGGCGCGAAAGCUAGGGGAGCAAACGGG
rnacentral:rRNA from 1 species